rnacentral:rRNA from 1 species
CCUACGGGAGGCAGCAGUAGGGAAUGUUCGUCAAUGGGCGCAAGCCUGAACGAGCGAUGCCGCGUGAGUGAAGAAGGCCUUCGGGUCGGAAAGCUCUGUUGCGGGGGAAAAAAGGCAGCAUCAGGAAAUGGGUGCUGACUGAUGGUGCCCCGCCAGAAAGUCACGGCUAACUACGUGCCAGCAGCAGAGGUAAUACGUAGGUGGCGAGCGUUAUCCGGAAUGAUUGGGCGUAAAGGGUGCGCAGGCGGUCCGGCAAGUCUGGAGUGAAACGCAUGAGCUCAACUCAUGCAUGGCCUUGGAAACUGGAGGACUGGAGAGCAGGAGAGGGCGGUGGAACUCCAUGUGUAGCGGUGAAAUGCGUAGAUAUAUGGAAGAACACCAGUGGCGAAGGCGGCCGCCUGGCCUGUUGCUGACGCUGAGGCACGAAAGCGUGGGGAGCAAAUAGGAUUAGAUACCCUUGUAGUC